GGUUAGACGGAGGGAGUAGGUCUGUAGCGUGGUUGCACUAGUCUCCCGCUACCUUAGCUUGUGCUGGUAUAAAUCAGUUAAAAUUGUUAGGUCGCUCGUGCGGAGGAAAGGUGAAAGUGAAACAAGUGGGUAUGUAAAUGUAUGUACGCAUCCAUGCAUUCAAUUCGACAAGCUAACAAAACCUUAAAUAGUCACCGAACUCCCGUGCUUGGGGAGCGUUAAAACGUUUCAAUUGGCAUUGAUCAGGUGGCUUUACAACGUAGGGCCCGACCGUCGCGUGUACUGUAACUGAUGUGAAGCCGAAAACGCAAGAGUAUCCCAUGCACGGUUGGUCUGAAAAUCGCAGUACUCCGUAUUGGUAUGUAACUACAUCGUACAGUACAGGCGAGUACUCUGACUCAAUGGCAAAAUGGGUACAGUGAAGCAGUUAGCAGUGUAGUUAGAAAACUAGUAGAAAUGUGAAGCGAACAGUUUUGUUUGCAAUCCCAUGUUCUCAACCCUUCUCCCUCGUUUUUCGCGUGCACGUUUUUCAAACUAAUAAAUGGUGCGUUUUUAGUAAAAAGUUUCUAUACGAAAGUUGUUUAAAAAAAUUAUAUCGAUUUAUUUUUUAAAAAAAAUAGCAAAAAUUUAAUUAAUCACGCGCUAAUGGACCGCUCCGUUUUCCGUACGGAGAGUUUAGUUCCCAACUUCCCAUAUCUGAACACAGCCAAGUGGUGUCGCUGGCAGCCUGGCAAUGCUAAAUUGCUAAUCUGUGGUUCCGUUGAGAACGGCUGCUAGCUCGAGUGCUUGACUAGCUGGGAUCUGCCAGAGCUAUGCAUUGGUCUGAGCUCGAAUUCUUUCAAACACAGGUUAUCACACCAUUUUCUUUUUAGUUAAUUGGAUCCAUGCCACUAUAAAUAUGGUAAAUCAGAAAAAUGACAUUAUUAUUCAUGAAAUCGGGUAGAUGCCACUCUAAUUUUCUAAAAUUAGAACCAUGCCACUCCAUCACAAUUUCCGUCCUCUUCGUCACAUUCAGCCGUCUCCGUGUUAUCUUCUUGUCGUCUUCGUCUUCGUCUCGACGGACAAACCGGCGCCGGAGGAGGAGAGCACGGCGGCGGAUGGGGAACGACGGCGGAUGGGGAAGGGCUUCACCGGCGCGGCCGUGCCCGUGCGCUGCGCCUCCGCUAUAGCACAUCGUCUUCAACCUCUAUACGAAGUCCCGUGCGGCCGUGCCUCCCGAGCUCGCCAUGCCCUGGCCGCUUCUCCCAACGAUUUCCUUCUCUCUCCGCUGCCACCGCGCGUUUCAGCCGCUUUGCGCCAUCGCCCUAAUUGUCUGCUCUCAGCGCAACCACCUCAACGAAGAGAGGAAGCCCGGCUAUCAUCUCCCUCAUGGAGCUCGGCGCCGGUGAGGGCGGCGUGCCGCCAUGCCCUCCUCCUCAGGCACCGAGACGAAGAUAAGACGGAGACGGCGAAAAAUGUGACGGAGAGGACGGAAAUCGUGAUGGAGUGGUAUGGUUUUAAUUUUAGAAGAUUGGAGUAGCAUCUACCCGAUUUCAUGAAUAGUAAUGAUAUUUUUCUGAUUUGUCAUAUUUACAGUGGCAUGGAUCCAAUUAACCCUUUCUUUUUUACCAAUAAUAAUAUGUUAACCUCUUCUUAGUACUCCAACAAUUUAAUCUGUGGUUCUUUUUUUACCAAUAAUAAUAUAUGUUAACCUCUU